rnacentral:tRNA from 1 species
GUCCAGGGUAGCCUAGUGGUCAUGGCAUCUGCCCGGUAAGCGGAAGGUCGUGGGUUCCAUUCCCAUCCCAUCCC